UGAACGCUGGCGGCAGGCCUAAUACAUGCAAGUCGAACGGCUCUUCGGAGCAGUGGCGGACGGGUGAGUAACGCGUGGGAAUGUGCCCUUAGGUACGGAACAACACAGGGAAACUUGUGCUAAUACCGUAUGUGCCCUUCGGGGGAAAGAUUUAUCGCCUUUGGAGCAGCCCGCGUUGGAUUAGGUAGUUGGUGAGGUAAAGGCUCACCAAGCCGACGAUCCAUAGCUGGUCUGAGAGGAUGACCAGCCACGCUGGGACUGAGACACGGCCCAGACUCCUACGGGAGGCAGCAGUAGGGAAUCUUGCGCAAUGGGCGAAAGCCUGACGCAGCCAUGCCGCGUGUAUGAUGAAGGCCUUAGGAUUGUAAAAUACUUUCACCGGGGAAGAUAAUGACGGUACCCGGAGAAGAAGCCCCGGCUAACUUCGUGCCAGCCGCCGCGGUAAAAC
rnacentral:rRNA from 1 species